rnacentral:lncRNA from 1 species
CUCUCUCGUCUCUCUCGCUUCGGUCUCCCAGAUGUCUUUUCUGCUGCUGAGCAGACUGGCAGGCAGCCGGUGAUGGGGCCCUACUUGGAAGACCCCCUCCUCUGCUGGCUCCUGCGAUUCUUCAGCCUCCUCGUCAGUGUCUACAGCAGUGGGACCAAUGGUGGAGGCCCUGCUCCUGGAGUUCAGGAUUCUGGAGCUCCUGAUCCUCUGCAGGGGAUCCGAGGAGGUUCUGUGCUGUUUCCUUUGCCCAAGAAGCAAGACGCUGAGCUGGAGGAGGGCACGUGGGGCUUUGGUCCUGGGUCAGAGUACAGAGUCCUGCUGCGAGUCCGUCCUGGGAAAGCUCCCACCUGGGUCAGCCUCCAGGACAGGUACCAGCAGAGGGUCCAUGUGCCCAACAUGACGUCCCUGAAGAUUGAGAACCUGACCCCUGAGGACAGUGGGCUGUACCGGGCUCGAGUUAGCUUCACUGGAGGAGUAGAACUUACCAAGGUUUUCCACCUCACUGUCUAUGAGCCAGUGACCAUUCCCCAGAUCCUGGUCCACUCAUCAUCCAUCACACCAGGCUGGUGCAAUGUUACCAUGGAGUGCAGGACCUCAGGGGACGCAGAGGACCUGAAGGUGACCUGGGAGGGCAAGGGCCUCCCCAGGGAGCUGGAGGAGAGAGUGACAUCAGGACCAACCCCCAAUUCGUGGACCCUGGCUGUGCACCUGCCCCAGAGCCAGCCCUACACCAACAUCACCUGUGUGGUCAGCAACGAAGUGGACCAGAAAACUGCCACCUUCAACCUUGGGGAAGUCUGUGUCCAUGGUGAGUGUACCUGCCACAGGGGAGGGGCACUCUUGGAGCUCGGGUGCAGUGGAGCAAAGGUUCUGGGCUGUUGUCCACACCACGUUAUUAGAACCACCUUCCACUGGGUCGCCCCAUAUAGGAGCCUGGGAGGUACAGCCAACCCAUCUUUGCUUUUAACGGUCUCUCACAUCUAAGCCUGCCUCUCCAUCCCUUGCCCAUUCUUGUCCAGGGCAUGAGCUUUCCAGUACUCUUCCCUCCCAUCCACUAUCCAUAGCGUGUCCUCUGUAAUCUUUUGGAAAAGAAAUUGGAUUGUGUAUUGGUCUGUGUCGUCUGUGGGGUCUGACCCAGUGAUUCCCUGUAGAAUUCAGGGCUCAGACAUUUCUCUGCCCAUGUUUCUGGCUUCACUUACACACUUCGUAGUGAAUGGUGUGUGUGUAUGUGGUUGUUGUUGUUAUUUUUGUCUUUUUAGGGCUGCACCCGCGACAUAUGGAGGUUCCCAGGCUAGGGGUCCAAUCGGAGCUGCAGCUGCUGGCCUGUGCCACAGCCACAGCAAUGCGGGAUCCAAGCCACAUCUGUGAUCUGCACUGCAGCUCACAGCAAUGCUGGAUCCUUAACCCACUGAGUGAGGCCUGGGAUCGAACUCACAUCCUCAUGGAUACUAGUUGGGUUUGCUAACCCCCGAGCCAUGACGGGAAAUCCUGUUGCUGUUUUUCAGUUUUUGAAUGUGUCCUGCAAGCUUUGAGCCUCUGAUCAUGCCGUUUCCUCCACCAUCAUUCCUCCCACUCUCGUCACUUCCUGAAGGAUUCCCUUCAGGCACUGCUGCUUCAUGAGCAUGUGACAAGCACCAUCACACAGGGCCCUGCACUUGGUUAUAGUUCUGUCAUUAAUACUAUUUGAGCAAAGGGCACCUCAAUCUCAUGCUGCACAGACCCCUGCAGGUGCUGUAACUGUCCUAUCCUCAGGCAUUACCCCUUAAAAGGAGCAGUCUGUGGCCACCCCCCGCCAAGCAGCAAUGCUUUGCUAAAGGAUUUGUCUCCUUUGUAGCUGGAACACUUCGAGAGCAGAAGUCAUGUCUUUUUUUUUUUUAAUUAAAUUAUAGUUGAUUUACAAUGUUGUACCAAUUUCUGCUGUAUAGCAAAGUGACCUAUUCAUAUGUAUUUAUAUAUCUAUUUUGAUAUAUAUAUGUAUAUACAUAUAUUCUUUUUCUCAUAUUAUCUUCCAUCAUGCUUUAUCACAAAUGAUUGGAUAUAUAUAGUUCCCUGUGCUAUACAGAAGGACCUCAUUGCUUAUCCUUUCUAAAUGCAGUAGUUUGCAUCCGCUCACCCCCAAUCCCAGUCCAUUUCAUUCCCUCCCCUCUCCCCCUUGGCAACCACAAGUUUGUUUUCUAUGUUUGUGAGUCUGUUUCUGUUUUGUAAAUAGGUUCACUUGCACCAUAUUUUAGAUUCCAUGUAUAAGUGAUAUCAUUGGUAUUUGUCUUUCUGAUAUACUUAAUAUAAGAAUCCUAGUUGCAUCCAUGUUGCUGUAAAAGGCAUUGUUUUUAUCUUUUUCAUGGUUGAGUAGUAUUCCAUUGUAUAUAUGUACCAUGUCUUCCUAAUCCAUUCUUCUGUUGGUGGACAUAUAGGUUGUUUCCAUGUCUUGCUGUUGUGAAUAGUGCUGCAGUAAACAUAGGGGUGCACAUCUUUCUUUCAACCCCUGAACCAAGGACAGCUUCUGGCAAAGUUUGCUCAUGGUCAGUGUUUCACUGAGUGAAUGACCUGAUACCCUAUCAGCAGCAUCCUGGAGUUUCAAAUAAAGUUCAACACUCAACAUGACCCUUAAAACCCUCUGGAAAGAGACUCUUCCUCCCUCUGAUCCUCUUCAGCCAGCUCCUCCCUGCCAUGUCCCUCUCCUGCCUGCCACAGUAAGGUGAUGGCAGUUCUAAGGCCAAUGGUUUGCCACAGCCAUUGCCUGGACGUGGGCCUCCUCCUUCCUGGAAUGCAGUCCUCAACCUGAAUACGUAGUAAACUCCUACUCCUGCCUCAAGACUCAGUUUUAAACAUCACCUCCUCUAGGAAGCCCUCCCUGAAGACGUGUGUAUGGGUGGAAACCUCUAUUGCAUGGCAGUCUCUCUGGCUGGUAGACGUUGGUGUUUUCUCAGUGUUCUCUCUGGGUGACCACACCUUGUUCCUUCCAGUCUCCCUGAACUCAAGCAGGAGCUCAGGAGGAGGCUGACUGAAUGAACCUGCCAAGCUCCUCCCUCUUCAGCUUCUGAACCAGGACCCUUCAGACCUCUCCACGUGCUCGCUCCUCUCUUUCCCCUUGGCAAUAGGCAUCUCAAGUUCUUUCUGGCCUUAAUGUUCUCAUUCUCUCCGUGUGAGGGAAACAGGUUCACAUGGACAAGCCAAAGCUGUUGCCCUGCCAGGCAUCUUAGGGGCAGGGGCUACUGUGGCUACACUAUUACUGAUCCUUGGAAUUGGACUCUGCCUUUGGAAGAAGAAGAAGAAGAAGAAGAUGGAGACUGCAAGAGGAUUGCAGGAGGAGUCUAAGGACCGUGACGGUGGCAUCCAAUAUGUAGAGCUGAGCCAGCAGGAUUCUCGAGAGAGCACGGACCAGGGUGAUGGUGAACGACGUCUAAAUGAAAAGGAGUCUCUUAAUACUGUCUACAGUGAGGUCCAUAAGCCAGCAAGUGUGCCCAUGAAGAUAAUUUAAUUGGAGGAGGCAGAAGAAUUGACACUCCUAGGACACCUCCAUUCUGAAUUUGAUCCCUGCAGAUACCUGCCCCUACGAGUGCUGGUCCAGCACCAGCUGCCUCUGGUCUGCAUUCCUCUGACCUUUGUGCCCUCAACUCCCUGGGCUCACGUGGCCCUGUCACUUCCUCUGUCAACUCUAUAUGCUGCCUUCCACUCAGGUUCCUCACUCCAGAAGGACUAGUGCUCUUUCUCCGUCAUUGACUCUGCUCCUGAUUCCUCUCCUUCUGAAGUUUCCCUAGGAGGAUCUCCCUACCUGUGCAUGUGUUCAUCCCCACAGCCUCUGCGCUGUGGCUGGUGUGUAUCUUUCUGAGAACAGGAGCCUGGGCGUGGGGACUGUGUGGAGGUUUCGACUACACCAUAGAGGGAGUUAGGAACUUGGAGCUGGGUGUUGAGCUGAGUGUCCAUGGAGGUGGCCUGGAUGGAUGGGUAGGAGCCUACAAAAGACGGGCCUGAGGCGUCCUUUGUAUGGCAAAAGGUGUUGGAGGGACUGUCUAGUAUACAUCAUACAUGGGGGCCAGAGCCCUUGAUCCUGAUCACCCAUACUAACCUCAGCUUCAGCUCAUGGGCCUUAAAUCCAUCUCUCGUGGAAUGUGAAGAGGAAUUUGUAUUGUCUCUGGUCCUUCCAAGCCAACUCCUUUUCAGAGAAAGACCCCAGGAACCCAAUGUUGGGACUCUGUGUUCUUCCCUGUCUGGGCCAGGGGUUCUUGUCAUUAGAAUGGUCAUGCAGGGAGUUCCUGUUUUGCAGCAGUGGAAACAAGUGCUACUGGUAUCCAUGAGGAUGCAGGAUCCAGUAUUGCUGUGAGCUGUGGUGUAGGUCGCAGAUGCGGCUUGGAUCCCACAUUGCUGUGGCUAUGGUGUAGGCUGGCAGCUAUAGCUCUGAUUUGACCCUUAGCCUGGGAAUUUCCACCUCCAUGUGCUGUGGGUGUGGCCCUAAAAAGAAAAAGAAAAAGAAUGGUAGUGCAUGUUCCCCCACCACCCCCAUGGUGAGGCUGCUAUGAGGUGUGAAGGGUGAAACUUAGGGGAAGGUCUGAACCAGCCCUCUCCUGCCUCUUCUACUGACCCUCAGACCCCACAGUCCUGCUGGCCUCAGAUCCUGGGUCAGUCUCCUCUUUGCUCACUCACAUCCCUCUGCCUGGAAUGAUGGAUCCUUUACCCUGUCUCUUAUUCCCAUCCCUGGCUGUUGAAAACCUACCAACCCACCCAAAGCCUCUCUUCAAGUCACGUGUUCCAGGGAGCCUGUCUGCUACCAAGAGUUGGAAAUGUCCUCUCCCACAUCUGACCUUCUUGAACACCAUGGACAUAACUAAGGCCCUUGCUGCUAUCGGCCAUGGACUGGUCAUGCCAGACUUGCCUAGGGCUCCCUCAAGAGGGUGUUGGGGUUUAGGAGGCAAGGACCAAGAAGACAAACACCUGUCUCUAAGCCUCCUCACAACUUCCACGGGGACUCAGCAGACUGAGACCCAGAGCACAGAGGCUGCUGAAGGUCUCGCUGGUGGUGAGCCCACUUGGAAGCAAAGAGGGAUGUGAUGACCUCCCAUGACCUUGCCUGGCCCAGAGAUCUGAGGAGGGGCUUCCCCACCCCAUCUCCAGCCUCCCAUUGCCUGAGGACCUGAUACAGCCUGCACUGUGCUGUGUGGGGUCUUCUCCUCCCCCUGGGGGUUUUCAUCUCAUCAAAGCCUCUGCCUCCUGCCUUCGGUCUCAGCUCUUGGGUCAGAGAUGGGCUCGCUCUGGAACGAUGAUCUGUGGAAACUUGACUGCUGGUCUAGAUUCCUGGAUUUCUUGGUUCCCUUCCCAGCUCAGCAAGCUCAGCUGAUUCACCUCUAACUUCAGAAAGCAAAGUUCUGAGCUAAAACCUUGAGCAUGAUGAAGCAAGGCUGGGAGCCUUCUUCCCAUGGAUAAAGGAGGAUGAGAGUUUCAAUAAUAAAGCUGUUUCUAACCUC